rnacentral:misc_RNA from 1 species
GGGAGAACGAUUGGCAGUGGUAGAAGAUGACCUAUAUAUACUGAAUGACUAUGGUAGUUUCUCAAUUCCUAAUACAAACCAAGCUUUGUUAGGACAAUCUGUGAGUACUGACCAAGAGAUUCUCCAGCGCCAUAAGAGAUAGGGCAUCCUUCUUUUCAAACUUUAGAGAGGGGAUAUCCCAUUUUGUUUAAGAAAUGCAAGUUAAAAAGUUUAGUUGUGGUACUUGUGAAUUAGCCAAACACAAAAGACAAUCUUAUCUUGCAAUAAAU